ensembl:lncRNA
CUCUCACAGUUGAAGUGUACCUCUGGUGCAAAUUACUGACCUCUGUCAUCAUUUUAAGUGGGGGAACUUGCACAAUCGGUGGCUGACUAAAUACUUUUUGCCCCACUGUAAUGGAUAUAAGGACGUUUUUUCAAAAAAAGGAGCCACAUUCAGUCCAAAGAAGGAGACAGGAAAGUGGGGAACGUGAGGAGAAAGUACAAGGCCUGGAAGAACCAGGAAGGAACAGCUCUGAUCCUAGAAUUGUCACGGUCUGGAGGGCAGACCGUGGGGGAUGUAGGAGAAAGGACCCAAAACGCAGACUUAAUAGAAUGAACAGUGGGUUUAUUUACAGUGAGGUAAUUGUACACCACACAUUAAAUCUCCAAAAGUGCUCCCUCGACUCCCGUGACGUGUCUUCUCCCAAGUGCUGGUAUCCCGUGCUCUCUGCCCCUGUGCCUUCACACACCCCGUGUGUCUUGCAGUCCUGUGUUCCGCUGUCCUCCUGGGGAAAAACACAGACACAGCCGUUAUGGCACCAACUCCGGCAGGCAUACACUUUAACAACACUAGAAACACUGACAUGGAGUCUAACUCAACGAUCCUGCGCCGGAGGAAGCUCCAUCGCUCUGUUAAGUAGCUCCCCCGACGAUCCUGAUCAGAAGCAGAUGAACAAUUGCAGGGAGUGACAGAAGUAUUGGUGGAUUGACACAGGGUGGGUUUUUCCAGGGAGUCCAGCAGCAGUUCAUUCUCCCAUCUUCGGUGAAAGAUGGAAAUCCAACUUUCCAGCGUGGCUAUUUUCUGGCUGAGCUGAAAAAGAUCCAGAGCUAGUCGAUUGUAGCGGGUCUCUUUAGUGUAAUCCUUCUGAAACCAUUUAUGGGUAGGUAGCAACCAAAGGAGAAAUCCAUAGAGCAGAAGGACACCAACAGGUGUUCUGUUGGUGUUGGGCUGGUUGUCAGAAUUCAAUUGUUCAAACAAAAGUAGGUAGAAACAAAUAGUUUUAUAGUAUAAACAGAGUUUCAAGCUCACAGCAGAUGACCAGUUGGUAGUGUCGUGCAGCAAUAACCUAAAGUAAUGGGAGAAACGUGUCAAGCCAGCCAAAACUGAAAUAUGAUGAACAUGUAUUUUAGUAAUGAUGACUGCAAAUGAUGUAGAGGUACAUCAAAAUUUAUAUUUGUCUGCACAGAUCCACAAAAAAAAGUAGAAGCUUACACACAGAAGCUUAGUUGACAGAAGAAUAUCCAACCGAUUUACACAGACAACAGUAAGACAUCAUUUCUUUACUGCAGCUUUCCUGUCACUCUUUCUCACUUAGGCACAGGAGGAUGCUAAUGCUACCAACACUUUUUCCAAACUCACAGUCUUAGAGAGCACAACAGUGAACGGAUUUGAUUUAAAUCCCUAUCGUGGACAAUGAUUCACAGACGUAGAGCUAUCUAAACCAGAAGUUCCAAUAUGAGACACAACCAAUCAUGGCAGUCCGCCCCUCCAUGAGCCUGGUUCUGCCGGAGAUGCCUUCUUGUUAAAAGGGAGUUUUUCCUUCCCACUUUUGCAAAAGUGCUUACUCAUGUGAAUGUAAUAUUUUUACAUGGAAUAUUAAAUAUCUAUUUAAUAUUAUAUCAAUUUAUUUUAGUUAGUACUUAAACUGAAUUGAAUUUAAUAUAUCACAAGGAUGGACUGAGGUCUGAUUCAGCAAAUCCAGAUUUAUAUAACUAUUUUGUUUUGCUGAAUCAGAUCUAACCUCUGAAAGCAAACAAAUAUUCAAACGCUUCUGAUCAGUUCAGUCUCUUUUUUUUGUAACUACUCAGCAGUCAGAAAAUCAUUUAAAACCAAGAUCUAAACUACAAACAUACCAACAUAGCAAUUCUAAAAAUAAUAGUUUCUUGAGAAAAGAAUGUAUUUCUAUUGGCACACAACAGCAGCAGCAUUAUUUUAGAAAAAAAAUUACUAAGGUCAGUAUGAUUAAUCCUUCCAGAUUAAAAAAAAUGUUAUUGAGCCAUAGCACAAGCCACUGCUGUGAUAUAUAAGAUAAGAUAAGAUAGAACGUUAUUAAUCCCUCGGGUGGGUUCCUCUGGGAAAUUCGAUUUCCAAAAAAGCACAGCACCGACAGAAGUUACAGAGUUACAGAAUAUUAUAUAUAUAUAUAUAUAUAUAUACACACACACACACACACACACACACACACACACACACACACACACACACAUAUAUAUAAUACAGAGACAAUAAAAAUAAAAUAUACGAAGGGGAUAAAUAGAAUAAAUAGGAAUAAAAAAUAAAAAUACAAGUGAAUUGCACAUUUCAAGUAUUGAGGUCUAUUGCACUGUUGACUAUUUACAAAAGUAUUGCACAAAAGGUAUUGCACAGUGAGGUGAAGAGGCACUACAACUUAGUGUAGUGUAUUGUUGUGCACUGUGUAUUGUUGUGUGACCACGUUUUCUGCAUCUAGAAGACCUAGAUUAG